CCGGCCGGCGUCCCCGGGGGAUGCGCCGUGCGGGACCGCCCUCGUGUGUGGCGGUGGGACCCCGCGUGUGCUCUCCCCCGGCGGGCUCCGUCGUC
rnacentral:pre_miRNA from 2 species